rnacentral:rRNA from 1 species
GUGCAGCAGGCGCGAAUACUGUGCAAUGCGCGAAAGCGCGACACGGGAAGCCUGAGUGCCUUAACACAGUUAAGGCUUUUCUCAAGCCUAAAAAGCUUGAGGAAUAAGAGCUGGGUAAGACGGGUGCCAGCCGCCGCGGUAACACCCGCGGCUCGAGUGGUAGUCACUUUUAUUGAGCCUAAAGCGUUUGUAGCCGGAUUUGUAAAUCUCUAGGAAAAUACUUCUGCUCAACUGAAGAAAUUUUGGAGAGACUGCAAAUCUAGGGACCGGGUGAGGUUGAAUGUACUUCUGGGGUAGGGGUAAAAUCCUGUAAUCCUGGAAGGACGACCGGUGGCGAAGGCGUUCAACUAGAACGGAUCCGACGGUGAGGAACGAAGGCUAGGGGAGCAAACCGGAUUAGAUACCCCCGUAGUCC